rnacentral:rRNA from 1 species
CUCAGGAUGAACGCUGGGUGUGUGCCUAAUACAUGCAUGUCGAGCGAAGUACUUGUACUUAGCGGCGAAUGGGUGAGUAACGCGUACCUAAUCUACCCCUAGGAUUGGGAUAACUGUCGGAAACGAUAGCUAAUACCAAAUAUUCUUAUCUACACAUGUAGAUUUAGUAAAAGGUCCGUUUGGACCACCAAGGGAUGAGGGUGCGCUACAUUAGUUAGUUGGUAGUGUAAUGGACUACCAAGACGAUGAUGUAUAGCGGGGUCGAGAGGCUGAACCGCCACACUGGGACUGAGAUACGGCCCAGACUCCUACGGGAGGCAGCAGUAGGGAAUUUUCCACAAUGAGCGAAAGCUUGAUGGAGCGACACACCGUGCAGGAUGAAGGUCCUUCGGUUGUAAACUGCUGUGUAAGGAAGAAUAGCACUAAUAGGAAAUGAUUAGUGUCUGACGGUACCUUAUCAGAAAGCACGGCAACUAAUGUGCAGCAGCCGACC